rnacentral:lncRNA from 1 species
UUGGUCACUACGAAGGGAACCUUGAAGAGUUCAAGAGGUACUAUUCUCAUUAUGCAGUGGACUUCUUUCAAGAGAAAGCUACUGGAAAGAAGAAGGUUAAAUCCACUAAGAAGCAAAAGAAGGAGAGCAGGCCAAAGAAGGAAGUUCCUAAUAAGGCUGAAGCAAAGGGAAAGUGUUUCUACUAUGAUGCUGAAGGCCAUUAGAAGUGAACUGUCCACU